ACAAUUUUCGGAUGAAUCAAAAUUAUAUGGUCUUAAUAAUUAAGAACUGGUGGGUGUCCAAGGUCACGUGUAUUUUGACGAGUAAUUUAUUAAAUUUAACGUCAAGAAGAAGGGAAUAUUUGUAAAAGGGAUUUGACCGUUAAGAGUGUAUAUAUAUAUACAUAAAUUAGCGAAGUGGGUUUAAUAAAUAAUAAGAAUCACUUCUAAAUUAAGCUCGCAUCCCAACGUCUCUCAAGAUUCUCUCUCUCACGUACGAACACGAAAGCUCUGUUUCAUUUCUCUGUUUCCAUCUCUACGCCGCCGAAUUGGAUAAUAGAACGAUGUGGACUUUCUAGAAGGAUGUUGAGCUCGUCUCUAUAAGUAAAUGCUGGUGCUAGACCUGAUGCCGCUGCCAAUUAUUUUAACUAGACAGAAGAAAGGUGCAUCUCCCACCUACAGGUGCUCAAAGACAACCAUAGAAAAUAUAACGAAGAGUCCAAGUUCAUCAUGUCCAAGCACAAAACCUGGAACUUGUGCCUUCUCUUUCCAAGCUUCAAGACCAAACAUCUGAUGGGAAGGAAACAUGCCAACUUUCAAUCGAUACAGAGAAAGUCCAAGGGCUGCUUUAACAUUAAAUACCUCACACAUUGGAAACUAAUUGGGGAUGUCACUAACAUCAUGCCCGAGAUAUUUUCUGUCCAAAUCGAUAUGGACUAAUAUGGUCACGCCCAAAUCUGCCCGAGAUAUUUUCUGUCCAAAUGGACUAUGCCCAGAUACGCCCAAAGUCCAAUGGACAAAACCAAAUGGACAUGGACCGCCCAAAUACGCCCAUAUUUUAAAAAUAUCUAGGGUUAGUAUUUGGGGAAAAAAAUCUGAAAUCACAAUUGGUCUCCGUCUGUCUCUCGAGUCUCGACUCUCUCUCUCGACUUGCCUCUCCGCCUCGACUCUCCAUCUCUCGAGCAGUGUCUCUCCGCCUCGUCUCUCCAUCUCUCGAGCAGUGUCUCUCUGCCUCGUCUCUUCAUCUCUCGAUCUGUAUCUCUCCAUCUCGACUCUCCUCUCCGUCUCUCACUUUGUCUUCGAUUCGCUUCAGAUGGAUGGUGAUAUGUUGAAACUUAAUGAUGAUGAUGAUCGUAAGAGCACUACUGCGAGCCCUUCAGAAACACAAUUGGUGAACAGUAUACAAGCUGGAUAUGGGGUAAGUAGUUAGUGUUAUAAUGCAGGAGUUUUUGUACUUGGUGUCUUACUGUUUUUAUGUUCAUAACGCAUGAGUUUUAUGCAUUCUUUUCUUCAAAGGAGGGAAGAGGAAAAUCAGCUUUAGAUGUGUACUUGUCUAAACCGGUUGUAGAUAUGGCUGCCUUUAUGACUAUAGAUGUCUUGAGAUACUGGAAAAACAAUGCAACACGGUUUAAAGAGCUGGCUCGCAUGGCGUGUGAUGUUCUUUCAAUACCCAUUACAACCGUGUCCUCUGAGUCGUCAUUCAGUGCUGGAAGCCGUGUUCUUAGCAAGUAUAGGAGUCGACUUCUUCCAUCAAAUGUACAAGCUCUAGUUUGUGGAAGAAACUAGCUGCGUGGAUUUGAAGUGACGAGUAAGUUGUCUCUUUAAGUAAAUGUCUCUGUUGUGAUGUCUGCGUAAGAAGAAAAAAGAAAAAGAAGUAGAUUAAGUGAAGGAAUGAAGCAUGAAAGUUUAAUUUAAGUACCUUUUAGCUUUUGUAAGACAUGGAUUUUAAGUUUAAGUUUAAGACUUUAAGUAUCUUUUGUGAAACAUGAAAUUUAAGUUUAAGUAUCUUUUGUAAAACAUGAAAUUUAAGUCAGUUUAAGAUGUUAUAUAUAUAUAUGACAUUUUUAAUCUGUACAUCUUUUAAGUUUGAAAAUUAGAUAUUUUACAUUAAAUGAACAUCUAGACUCCAUGGACAGUCCACUGGUCAUGGUCCUAUUUGGACAUGGUAUAUUUGGACAUGGUGCUAUUUGGGCUCGACCAAAAAACGCCCAGAAAAAAAUAAGCUCAUCUGGACACGGCCAAAUCCACUCAGUCCAUCCAAUUGACAUCCCUAGAUGUCACUGAGACCACUCUCAAUAUCUCAUCCUAUGAGGUUUGUUUCUUUAUACCCACUAUGUUUCUUCUCUUUUCUUCUUUCUCCUUCAUGCUCUCUCUCUCUCUCUCUUUUGCUAUGUAGGUGUGCGAGCUUCACUCCCCUUUGGAGGAGGCUGCAUUUCUUUCAUUCCCCUACAUAUGUGAUGACUCCUCUGGAGCUCAUUCCGUCAAGGUUGUUGUUGAUGAGAUGGCUCUCGCAUGUGUUGAUCCAAUUUACAUCUCUAAGACAAAGGCGGUGACAGAAGCUAACAUCAUCGUAAAAGACUAUGGUCGUAGUGGCACGACUCUUGAACUAUGGGGUAGCUUUGAAGCUGUCAGAAAAGCUUUUAUCUCAGUUGUAUUAAGGCUGAGACGACACAAUUUCAAACUUUCAAGUGAGGAGCUAGCUUCAGGGGUUUAUGAGCCUAUUGAUCCAGCUAGGGCAAGCUUCUGACCCCUCAACUGAUGUGAUGAUUCUGAUUGCUUGAAGCACCUAAACUCCUAGUUUAUAUAUAUUCUGAUUUGAGAAGCAACUAUUGAUUGAAUACAUCAUGGUUUUGUUCUUUAGAUUUUGGAGCCUUGAUGAUUGAAUACAUCAUGAUUCUGAU